rnacentral:lncRNA from 10 species
CUCACAUUGCAGACUACCGAGCCACGGUCCCUUCCUCGGCUCCGUUUCUGCUCCCUCCACCCCACGAGGUAGGCAUUGGUGUUUCUGCUUUCCAGCUGGGGAAACAGAGUCCGGAGGUUAAGUGGUUUGCCCCCAGUGCCCCGCCGACAGGGCAAGGCGCGCGGACGGGGCUGUGACUCCCAGGGCGGCAGCCCCCUCGGCGCGGUCUCGCGACCCGACUUCUCUCUGUGGCCCCGGGAAGGGGGUGGGGGGCGGCGGGGCCUCGUCGGCUCCGCCUUCGCUUGGGACCCAGCCAGGCCGCGGGACGCUCCAGUCUUUACAGUGAUGACCUGAUGGCUUUCCUCAAAAGAGCUCGGACCACUCUCCUCCAACUCCCUUCCACAGACCGCUAGUGACGCCCACGCGCAUUUCCCCCUGACCACUGUCUUGACCCCCGGAUGGUCCAGACCGGGAGCCCCAGCCCAGCUUCGGCCGGCCGCUGCGAGCAGAGCUGGACCGCAGCGGGGACUCAGAUCGCCGUAGCCACGCCUACCCACGCGGGAAAGGGCGAGACAUGCAAAUUAGAAAUGGCGCUUCAGCCACGGGGCAAAAACAGAGCUGAGAAUUCACUUGAAAACGUAGCCAACUAUAAACCAUGCCCAAAGGCUUGCUGUUUUCAACAGGCCUAUUGAGAAACGAAGUUGUCAAUUGCCCCUAUCGUUGCUCACCGUGGGUGUAAUAUGGUGAUAUGAGGGUGGUAAUGGCGAAGGCAAAGAUGCUGGAUUCGACAAAUUUUUCCAGAUCUCUGUUUGUGGUGAGGUGUAAUUAUGUGUGUUUUUCCUAGCUUAGUGUGUGCGUUCUUUCUUUUUGUUUCUGAGAAUGCUGUGUUGAGGGGGUUUUUGGAGAAAACGGUGGGGUUGGGAGGUUGUAGUACUUCAAACAAAGGUGAACGAUUUUUUAGGUGAGUGAGCGUUGUGUUUUAAAGGUUAUACUUUGUUAUAUUCACGUUCUUAUUGCGUUAUAUCAUGCUUCAGAAUUGGUCGUCAAUAUCCUUGUCUAGGUGAGAGUAUGUGUGACCAGCCCCCUCCCCGCCUUUUUUUUUUUUUUUUUUUGUCUUAUAGAGUGUCACUUUUGUCAUCCAGGCUGGAGUGCAGUGGCGGGAUGAGAGUUCACUAUGAUCUCGACUUCCUGGACUCAGAUGGUUCUCCCACUUCAGCUUCCGGAUCUAAUAUUUCAAUAAUUUCAAGAACACUGCAUUCAUUCCUCUCCACAUGAGCAAUUGCCAAAAACUCACCUGGCACUAAGGACUGCUCUGGUGGUCUUCGGAGGCUCCUGGGAUCGACUGCUUGGACAGAGGUGACAUCACCCAAUUAGUGAGAGCCAAGACCUAAGGCUGCAGCUGCCUUCCAGGUAUCUGCCACUCACUGUAGAACGAUCCCACAGUUCUGCAUUUCUGCCCUAUGCCCGCCAGUCACAAGAAGCUCCGGUCUCUUAUCCCAUGUCUGAUUCCUGAAACCUUGCUAAUUUUCCUACCAUCCUCCCUAUUCCCAGCCUCCUUUCUUCUUCUUCUUCUUCUUCUUCUUUUUUUUUUUUUUUUGAGGCUGAGUUUCACUCUUGUUGCCUAGGCUGGAGUGCAA